GUAGGUGGCAAGCGUUGUCCGGAAUUAUUGGGCGUAAAGCGCGCGCAGGGCGGUCCUUUAAGUCUGAUGUGAAAGCCCACGGCUCAACCGUGGAGGGUCAUUGGAAACUGGGGGACUUGAGUACAGAAGAGGAAAGCGGAAUUCCAAGUGUAGCGGUGAAAUGCGUAGAGAUUUGGAGGAACACCAGUGGCGAAGGCGGCUUUCUGGUCUGUAACUGACGCUGAGGCGCGAAAGCGUGGGGAGCAAACAGGAUUAGAUACCCUGGUAGUCCACGCCGUAAACGAUGAGUGCUAAGUGUUAGGGGGUUUCCGCCCCUUAGUGCUGCAGCUAACGCAUUAAGCACUCCGCCUGGGGAGUACGGCCGCAAAGGCUGA
rnacentral:rRNA from 1 species